rnacentral:lncRNA from 1 species
GCACCACCGGUUCCGAAACCGAAGCGCGCCACCGGCGUCCACACUGAAAUCGCCACCUCGACCUUCCUCGAUGUUACGCCGCACCUUUUGGAGACUCGGAUCUGCAGGUUGCAAUUUCUUGAUCCUCUCCAAUAAGGUCGGUUGAAUGACAAGUGCCAUCAAUUGGGUCGGGACCUCGGGAGCGACCACUUCAAGGCCCAAUCGCUCCAUAUCCAG